rnacentral:rRNA from 1 species
AACGAACGCUGGCGGCAGGCCUAACACAUGCAAGUCGAGCGAGGACUUCGGUUCUAGCGGCGGACGGGUGAGUAACGCGUGGGAAUGUGCCCUUCUCUACGGAAUAGCCCUGGGAAACUGGGAGUAAUACCGUAUACGCCCUUUUGGGGAAAGAUUUAUCGGAGAAGGAUCAGCCCGCGUUGGAUUAGGUAGUUGGUGGGGUAAUGGCCUACCAAGCCGACGAUCCAUAGCUGGUUUGAGAGGAUGAUCAGCCACACUGGGACUGAGACACGGCCCAGACUCCUACGGGAAGCAGCAGUGGGGAAUCUUAGACAAUGGGGGCAACCCUGAUCUAGCCAUGCCGCGUGAGUGAUGAAGGCCUUAGGGUUGUAAAGCUCUUUCGGCUGGGAAGAUAAUGACGGUACCAGCAGAAGAAGCCCCGGCUAACUCCGUG